rnacentral:rRNA from 1 species
GAAAGAACCAACAGGGAUGCCCUAGUAACGGCGAGUGAAGCGGCAACAGCUCAAAUUUGAAAUCUGGCUCUCUUUGGGGGUCCGAGUUGUAAUUUGCAGAGGAUGCUUUGGCAUUGGCGGCGGUCUAAGUUCCUUGGAACAGGACAUCACAGAGGGUGAGAAUCCCGUACGUGGUCGCCUGCCUUUGCCGUGUAAAGCUCCUUCGACGAGUCGAGUUGUUUGGGAAUGCAGCUCUAAAUGGGAGGUAAAUUUCUUCUAAAGCUAAAUACUGGCCAGAGACCGAUAGCGCACAAGUAGAGUGAUCGAAAGAUGAAAAGUACUUUGGAAAGAGAGUCAAAAAGCACGUGAAAUUGUUGAAAGGGAAGCGCUUGCAGCCAGACUUGCCCGCAGUUGCUCACCCAGGCUUUGGCCCGGGGCACUCUUCUGCGGGCAGGCCAGCAUCAGUUUGGGCGGUUGGAUAAAGGCCUCUGUCACGUAUCUCCCUUCGGGGUGACCUUAUAGGGGAGGCGCAAUGCAACCAGCCCGGACUGAGGUCCGCGCAUCUGCUAGGAUGCUGGCGUAAUGGCUGUAAGCGGCCCGUCUUGAAACACGGACCAAGGAGUCUAACAUCUAUGCGAGUGUUUGGGUGUCAAGCCCGAGCGCGCAAUGAAAGUGAACGGAGGUGGGAACCCUUUUGGGUGCACCAUCGACCGAUCCUGAUGUCUUCGGAUGGAUUUGAGUAAGAGCAUAGCUGUUGGGACCCGAAAGAUGGUGAACUAUGCUUGAAUAGGGUGAAGCCAGAGGAAACUCUGGUGGAGGCUCGCAGCGGUUCUGACGUGCAAAUCGAUCGUCAAAUUUGGGCAUAGGGGCGAAGACUAUC